GAUGAACGCUAGCGGCAGGCUUAAUACAUGCAAGUCGUGGGGCAGCAGGUUUGUAGCAAUACAGAUGCUGGCGACCGGCAAACGGGUGCGGAACACGUACAGAACCUUCCUUUGAGCGGGGAAUAGCCCAGAGAAAUUUGGAUUAAUACCCCAUAGUAUAAUGAAGUGGCAUCACUUUAUUAUUAAAGAUUUACCACUCGAAGAUGGCUGUGCGGCUGAUUAGGUAGUUGGCGGGGUAAAGGCCCACCAAGCCUGCGAUCAGUAACUGGUGUGAGAGCACGACCAGUCACACGGGCACUGAGACACGGGCCCGACUCCUACGGGAGGCAGCAGUAAGGAAUAUUGGUCAAUGGAGGCAACUCUGAACCAGCCAUGCCGCGUGGAGGAUGAAGGUCCUCUGGAUUGUAAACUUCUUUAUAUGGGACGAAAAAAAGGCUUUUCUAAGUCGUCUGACGGUACCAUAUGAAUAAGCACCGGCUAAACUCCGUGCCAGCAGCCGCGGUAA
rnacentral:rRNA from 1 species